rnacentral:tRNA from 1 species
GAGGCCCUUGGCGAGCCGGGAACGGGGCCGGAGCUUCUUCAGUGAACUCGCGCGGUGCGCGCCGCGGGCCCGGGAUCGCUGCCCGGGGACCGCGC